rnacentral:snoRNA from 1 species
CCUGCCCCUAGUGGCAUUGCAGGUAUAGCUUGUGUCACAAGUGUCUGAGUAGGGGACACAGAGGAGAGAGUCUGUGUAUGUACUCAGUAUUUUGACAUAUGAAUAUCUAAAUGACUAGUAGACUAACAGU